AACGCACUUACUUUUGUUAACUGCACUGGAGGAAUUCCUGAUUUGAGUGUUCACCGUUUUGAACGCGUAAAACGUAUUACCCCGAAAGUUCCGCACACCUCUAAAAAUGACAUUUUUAAAACAAAAAACCGACGCCAUUUGACCGUUCUAAACUAUCUGACUUCAGAUGGCCUUGAUUGCUCUAAUCUUCGGCCUUGAAGUGGGUUGGAGACAGACAAAUUUGUUCUGGUGCACUCAAUAAGUGAUGAAACGUUCUUGAAAAAUAAAUGAAAUGAAGUCAAUUUUAAUAACCGGUUGCAAUCGGGGGUUAGGUCUCGGUCUGGUAAAACAUUUAGUGAAAGAUAAAAUUCCCCAAAAAAACAUUAUUGCAACAUGCCGUUCUUUGGAUAAGGCAGAGGAACUACAAGAAAUUGCAGCUUCGAAUUGUAACGUUCACAUACUACAGUUAGGUAUUC